CCUCCCCCGCUGCCAUCGGGGAGGCGGCGGCCGCCGCGCUCAAUCCGCGCCAAGGACGGGGGCUGAGGGGUGCCGCUGCCCCGCCCCGGCUCCCCCGCCUCCUCCCCGGGGCCGUCAUUGCUGACCCGCCGCGGCACCGGUGUGCUGCGGCCGCCUGACGGGGGGAGGGAAACGCUGGCUCGUCCCUUUUUUUGUGCUGACGGCGGCAGGGCCGGGCAGGGCAUGGCGGGCGGGUGGGGGCAUCGGUGCUGAGGGAGCCGGUCCGGGGCCGGCCGGCAGCGGCCGCCCAGCCCCGGCCGGGGGCCGGUUCAGCGGCGGUCGGUCGGUGCCGUGGGCCUCCGCGCCGCGAGCCGGGCACCGCGCCUGGGGUGGCCGCCACCCCCACGGGCGGCCUCGCAGGCGUCUCCUGAGUGUACUGUCACGAUCCGCUACGAGGUGGGGAAGCACGAGCUCCGUUUCACGGGGCCGUUGGCUUGGCCAGGAGGCGCGUGCGGAGGAAUCGCUGCCAGCGGCAAGAAGUUGCGCAGAAUUCGAGGAUUUUACGCGAUCUUCUUCCGCGGUAGAGUUGCUCAAGUCGGUGGUAUCUGAUUUUCAUGCUCUCUGACUUUUGUCCUGCAGCUGACUUCGGUUGAAUUAUUUGUGGUUGAACGAAUCUCGACGGGACAAUGGCUCGCCUGGAGUCACGCACAAACGCUUUGGCAGGGACGAGGAAUGUAACCUGACACAGUGCCACAACCGCUCCUUCUCCCCCGCCGUCUGCAUCGGCCCUAUCCACCUCACGCUCUGUCCAGCUAUUUCGCCAUAUCCCCGGAGAGCAUCAUUUUAAAACUGUAAUACACUUCAAAACUGUAAUACAGGGGAAUGAGCCCCUGGACCGUGAAUGGAAUUUUGUGCCUUGUUAAAGUAAUAAGCACAUCCAUCACUAUGAUGGAGGACUGAGACACAGAGAGGUGAAAAGAUCUCCCGAAGGUCACACAGGAAGUCUCUUGGUGACAGGUCACGGUUUCAAAGUUCAACUCCAGUUUGGCAACGCUAGCAUUUUUGUUGAAGCACAGGUUUCCAGAAAAACAAACCCUAGUGUUAAGGGACACAGUCUAAAUAAAUUUGCCUGGUAACCUUCAUGCAAUUACAACAUUUUUUGUGUGUGUGUACAUUUUAAUCACAUCUAACUUUUGGUUUGUAUACAAAGUCUGUAAUUAGGUAAGUCUGAGAUACUCCACCACUUGCAUCUGUCCCAUCAUCUUCCCAAAACACAAGAAAUUAGACAGGAUUUCCCUGCUGUUUCUUUUUUCAAAACUGCAAUUAAACCUGAUUAGAAACAGAGAUCUCACUUGAAAAACUCCAAUAAUGGAACCCCUCCCACAGCACAAUGUUGAGAGUCUGAUGGCCACAGUCUGAUGGUGGCCAUACCAAGGUAGUAAACAUCAUGAAGAAUAUAACCUAGGAAGGGAAGGAGCCCAUUACACCACAAGAACAUGGGACAUAGGCCUGGUGGCAGGAGAACAGAAAGUAAAAGGUGAUCUUUUGUCACUGUGUUAGACCUGGUAGGUCAGGUCAUCAGACUACAGGAUGGAUAUGCUCGUUAUUUCACAUGGCUGUAAUGGAGAACAAAGAACUAGUUGUCCAGUUUUGCAAAAUACAGAGAGCUGAAUUAAUCUGCUGGAAACCACGAAGUGCUGAUGCACACGCAGUGCUUGCAGACGCCAAGUUAAAACUCUGGUCCACCUGUAUUUUAAUUCUGUGCUUAUUCAUCUGGAAUUUCCAUUUGAAGGGAAAAUAUAUCACACAAUAAAGAAAAACAGUCUUGGA